rnacentral:rRNA from 1 species
CCUGGUUGAUUCUGCCAGUAGUCAUAUGCUUGUCUUAAAGAUUAAGCCAUGCAUGUCUAAGUAUAAGCAAUUAUACAGCGAAACUGCGAAUGGCUCAUUAAAUCAGUUAUCGUUUAUUUGAUAGUACCUUACUACAUGGAUAACCGUGGUAAUUCUAGAGCUAAUACAUGCUAAAAACCCCGACUUCGGAAGGGGUGUAUUUAUUAGAUUAAAAACCAAUGCCCUUCGGGGCUCACUGGUGAUUCAUGAUAACUUCUCGAAUCGCACGGCCUUGCGCCGGCGAUGGUUCAUUCAAAUUUCUGCCCUAUCAACUUUCGACGGCUGGGUCUUGGCCAGCCGUGGUGACAACGGGUAACGGAGGGUUAGGGCUCGACCCCGGAGAAAACGCCUGAGAAACGGCGUUUACAUCCAAGGAAGGCAGCAGGCGCGCAAAUUACCCAAUGCCGACACGGCGAGGUAGUGACGAGAAAUACUGAUACAGGGCUCUUUUGGGUCUUGUAAUUGGAAUGAGUACAAUUUAAAUCUCUUAACGAGGAACAAUUGGAGGGCAAGUCUGGUGCCAGCAGCCGCGGUAAUUCCAGCUCCAAUAGCGUAUAUUAAAGUUGUUGCAGUUAAAAAGCUCGUAGUUGAACCUUGGGCCUGGCUGGCCGGUCCGCCUCACCGCGUGCACUGGUCCGGCCGGGCCUUUCCCUCUGGGGAACCGCAUGCCCUUCACUGGGCGUGUCGGGGAACCAGGACUUUUACUUUGAAAAAAUUAGAGUGUUCAAAGCAGGCCUAUGCUCGAAUACAUUAGCAUGGAAUAAUAGAAUAGGACGUGUGGUUCUAUUUUGUUGGUUUCUAGGACCGCCGUAAUGAUUAAUAGGGACAGUCGGGGGCAUCAGUAUUCAAUUGUCAGAGGUGAAAUUCUUGGAUUUAUUGAAGACUAACUACUGCGAAAGCAUUUGCCAAGGAUGUUUUCAUUAAUCAGGAACGAAAGUUAGGGGAUCGAAGACGAUCAGAUACCGUCGUAGUCUUAACCAUAAACUAUGCCGACUAGGGAUCGGACGGUGUUAUUUUUUGACCCGUUCGGCACCUUACACGAAAGUACAAGUUUCUGGGUUCU